GUUCACCUCUCUGCAGCCGCUAGCCUUCCAACCAGCUCCUUCUGCGAGACAGCCUCUUUGCUCAGGGCCUCCCUGCAUCAGUUUUCUUGGCUUAGAGAAAAAUGAGUGAUGUGCCUGCUCAUCUCAGUGACCUGCUUGUCCCUAAGUGACCUCAUCUCUCGGUGGCCUCUUCUCAGCUAAGGAAGACACCCCCAGAACCCAUCUAGGGAGGAGUAGCUGCCAGACAAGGAGAGUGGAAUUUCAGCCUUUACAUUGAGGUGUAGCUGGAGCAAGAGCAGAGCUCAUUCCUGGAGAGAGCCACCACCCAGGAACAAGCUAUGAGAAGAAACAUCACCAACCAAGCUUUCGGAGAAACCCACAUGCCUGUGACUGCCUCAGCCUAUAGUCUCUGGGGUGGUAUGAGGAAAGGAUUCCUAACCGAUCCAUGCCUGAGCUCCAUCACCAGUGUCUCCUAUGUUACCUACAAAGUUGAAAACAUCCCGAUACCAACUUGCCCACUCCCCAUUGUUUACACAUGGAUACCCUUGGGCUAUAAUAUGAAGCGGGGUGUUGCUGUGCCCAAUAUAUGGUCCAGGCAGGUCUCCGACUUCUAUCACCAACUCGAGAGCCUGUGCCCAGAUGCCGUGGCACCCAACGCAUUUCCCUGUAGUCUCAAGGCAAUCCUACCCUCAUUCCUUUAAUUUUUCUUUCUUUGGCCAAUGACAUUUCCAGCCAUUGUCCCCAAGUUCAAUACUAGAUUCUAACCUGCCUGGAAGGGUAGAAGAGGCCUUGGGAUGGUGUGUGAGCAGCCCAGAUACCUGUCAGUCCAGCCCUCAAAUGUUUGCCCCUUCAACCCAGCAACCCCAACUGCCUACCCUGAAGAAUCCACUACGGCCUCUUGGAGCAGCUGGUGGGAUGUUCAGAGCUGUAUCCUUUGAGCCAGCAGCCAGCCUCUACUGCCUGAAGGGUCUCGGUCAUGAUCCCCCCCUCCCUAUGCUCACAUGCCUUUCUGGCCUUCAAGGGGCCCAUUGGUUCUUUUGUUUUUCUCUUUUUUUCUUCUGAACUCAUUAUUGGCACCUUUACUCCCAGCUUCUGUUCCGGACCAGUUAUCAUUUGUCAUCUACCUGGGCAGAUAAAUUUUGUAUAUAAAUUAAAAAACAAACAAACAAACAAACAAAACUACACAACCACUAAGCUGAGAAACCUGUAAACUAUCAAGAUCCACCACCUACACUAGGCCCUCUUUUGCACUGAAAUGGAUCUCACUGUUCAGUACCUGGGCAUCCUGUGUACUACAGAGUCCCCAGUGCUUAUACAUGAAUGUCCUGGGGCAGUUAUCUCAGGUGGCUUCUGGGGCAGUUAUCUCAGGUGGCUUCUUCCUAUGCCCUCAGUGUGGUCAAGGGAGGCCACCAGCUUUUAUUACCAACUCGAGAGCCAGUACCCAGAUACCAUGGAGUCCAAUAUGUUACCUUGUUUCAUGGGAUUCCCACCCCCGACUUCCUCAGGCUUUCAAAGCCUCUGCCCAGUCCUCUUCCCUCAGAGAAGGUCCUUUACUCCCUGGCUGCCAUGUAGUGACCCCAGAGCAUUCUGGCAUCACAGAACCCAGCAGGCACUCCCCGAAAUCUCUUGAAAAGCCCCACUUAAUGGAGGAUGGACUUGGGACGGGGGUAGGGUGGGGAAACAGGUUCACUGCACACACACACACACACACACCCCAUAUUGUUUCCUCUCAAGAGCUGGUAACACCGUCCCAUAAAACAUAGUGACUUACAUGUUCUUAAUAUUAAAUGACAUUCUAUCAAUUUUUUUUAAAGUUUUCACCAGUUAGUGUAUUUUAAGACCCCAUCCUAACCUGUAAGCAUGAACAGCACAUUUCCAGGUUUAUUGGCAUAGAGGUUCUCCUGUGCUCCCUAUUGGUUUUAAUUGUCUACUGUAUUCUUUCCUUCCUAAUGUCAAAUAUAUUAAAGGAGGUAAAUGAAAUCUCACCAUAGGCUAUGGUAUGGAUCUUUGUAUUUACCUAGAGGUUCCUACAUUGAAGGCCUGGGAGGUGACAGAGCCUUUAUGAGGCAGGGAGGUCUUUAGGUCACUGGGAGUAUACCCUCACAGAAGAUGGCGAGGCCCCAGCAUCUUUCUCCCUUUUUCAACCCUGAGGUAAACUGUUUUUUUACUGCACACUUCCUCCAGUGUGUGCCACACAGAUCCAAAGCAAAAGGGUCAAGUAAUCGUGGCUCUCAACCCUUUAAAACUGUGAGCUGAGCAGCCUCUUCUCGGGACCGCAGGCGUCGGUUACAGUAACAGGAUGCUGAACCACCAUGGAGUUGUGUUUCAGCAGAUUCUGUUUUGACCUCACUGGUUCUCCGGUGUCCCAUAUCAUCAUCUGUAGCCUAAGUUUCAAGGAUAAUUUCUGCCAACUCAUUUGCCUGGAGUUCCUC
ensembl:lincRNA